CUUACAGAGUUCAUUGGCAUUCUGUCCACCUUCUUCCAUAUCAUUCACUUGUUAAUUUCUUUUACCUAUUUGAUGAAGGAGGUGGGUAUACUGCCAACUUAGCUGUGUGAG